GUAAACCGUUCAUGUUAGUUCCAUCAUGUAAAAACGCACACGUUGCUACAGGUCUGCAAACAAGUUGUUACAAAUAUGUUCACAAGCUGUCGACAAGUUGUGUUGUAACAAUUUUGGAACAAGCUGUUGACAACUUGUAACAAGCUUGAUGGCAUUAUCAGACUUGUUCCAAGAUUGUUCUAACGAGUCUGAUACAGUCACGAUAAAACAAAAAUGUUACAAGGUUGACGACAAAAAGGUUGUAACAACAUUGCUAUAUCAUGAUUGUAUCAUGAUUGUAUUGGAACAACCCUGCAACAAGUCUGAUAAUGCCACCAAGAUUGUUACCAGUUGUCAACAGCUUGUUCCAAACUUGUUGACAACUUGGGACAAGCAGUGCGAACACAACUUGUUGACGGCUUCUUGGCAGACUUGCUACAAGAUGUGAGAUUUUUGCGUGUGUAGAUAAUCAGGUGAUCUCGGAACUCGGAAAAGGUCUGGCACUAGUUGUAAAACAGAAAUCCAUUUCUGGUUUAAAAUUACUCAAUAUCUCAUUAACGGUAUUAAGAUUUCAAAUUUGUCCCGGAUAUUCAUUUCCCUGUGCAAGACACGGACACAAAGUCCCAAACAGUUUCCCAAAAGAAUCAGGGCGUGACAAGUGAUUAAAGGCACUAAACUGGAUUUCUAUUCUGUUGCUAGUCCCAGUCCUUUUGCUCACCGUCAGAAAACCUGGAAAGAUAUGCUUGUAUUUUGUAGAUAUAAACUAUUACCCAACCGUCGUGGGGGUGUAUCGGGUUUUGGUAUGCCACCUGCAAGCAGGCGAGCUGUGGACGAUGGUGGUGCUGGCGGUGGACGUCAUGCCUGGGGUGAAGGACGUCGUUUGGAUGCCGACAAUUAAUUUCCCUUAUGCCUAUAUUAAUUAAGGUCCAUUUCCACUCAAGAAAAAUUUCCACGGACAGAAAAUUUCUGAAAAUGUCAUUGUUAAAAGUUGAACAUUUUCAACUUCAAAAUUUUUUUCCGACGGAAAAUUUGUGGUCAGCCAAACACAUUUUACAAAAUUUUUUCUGCGGAAAAUUUUCCUGAGUGGAAAUGGGCCACAAGGCUUAAGAACCUGAAGGUUCAGUAUGAGUGCAGUUAAUACUGUGAAGUUUAUACAUUGUACAUAGUUAAAACGAUAUGCUCAGCAUUUGAGGAUGAAAACACUCCCAAUCCCAGUCUUAACAAAAACAGUUUUAGAAAUGAACUUAUAUAAAGUGAGAAAUUUUAGUCAAAACAGGAAAAGUUGAUCAAUGUGCGCGGGUUAUUAAAACGCGAGAGAGAAAGUUCUACCUAUGUCAAGCUCUACCUAUGUCAAGUUCUACCUAUGUCAAAUCUCAUCCAUCGUACUGUUUGAGUGUUUGGUCAAAUAAGAUAUUUCCAUACUUCAUAAACAAAACACACUUAAAUUCCACAUUGGGAUAAUUAUGGCUUUGGAUUGCUAAGUUCAUCAUUAAAUAUCACUGUUUUCUUCAAAUUUCUACCUGAAUUUACCCAGCUUUUGACGUCAUAAUUUUUUGACUAAAAACAGAUUUUGCGGUGUAUAAACGACCAAAUAUUGAUGAUAGAACGGAUUCAGAGGACGGAUUCAGCUUCUUCUUACGGAAGAGGACGGAUUCAGCAACUAAAAACAAUGGUAUUUUAGGAAGAAUUUUUGUCCGUGGAAAUUUUUCUUGAGUGAAAAUGGGCCUUAACUAAAUUAGCAUCCCAGUAUUUUUGAAGCGUCCGCCACUGGUCAGAAUCAACAUGCCCACUGCGAAUUCGUCUGGGUUUCCAACAGGCAGACGCAUGAACAUCUUCAGCAUGAACUGCGCGUAUGUGAAUAUCACUGUGGACCUGCUGCUGAACUGUCAACGUACUUUGCGUCCUUGGCAUUGCAUGUGUUUUUUUUUGUCGCGCAUCGAAGCGAAUCCAAUUAAUCACGCGAAAAUUCUGAUGGAUUUUGGCAGGUUUCGCGGCGAAGCUUUUAAUUCUUGGCCGGUGAUAAUGUACAACUGACGAUUAACAAAUUUGAUUAUGGAUUAUUUUUCGAAAUUAGCGAAAGAAGCCGAUAUUAUUUCCGAUCCGAUCGCAUGUAAACAUAAGCUCCUUGAAACAAUUCUGAAACAAAUGAAGUUGAAACCGGAUCUUUUGUUUUUAUCUUUUGUCUUCAUUGUGCCAUUGCAAUAUUAAUUUCUAUUAUGUUUAGUAUUGUAUAUUUGCAUACUGGUAUACCAUUAGAAACGUGAAGGGGGAGAACAGAAAAAACUCAUACAAGCCAAAAGUAUUGAAAAAAAUACAAACAGGAGGUGGCAGAAAAAACGCAUCACAACACAAGAAAAAAACAUGGAGACAAAGCCGAACCUUCAAGAAAAUUCAAAGAAUGGAAGAGAACUUCGAAAAAAAUUCCAUGCAUGGAACAGAACUUCCCCGUCCUCAUUUCACUUUCAUUUUCAAAUAGUCCGCUCCCAAAUAGCCAAGUUGAAU
rnacentral:lncRNA from 1 species